ensembl:snRNA U6 U6 spliceosomal RNA
UUGUCUUAGAAAAAGGCACAGAUUCAGAAACUGCAACGGUCCAGAGGGUCAGCACGGCCCUCGUUCAAGGAGGACACGCAAAUUCGCGACGCGUUCCAUAUGCUU